rnacentral:rRNA from 1 species
AUUGAACGCUGGCGGCAGGCUUAACACAUGCAAGUCGAGCGGGGUGAUGGUGCUUGCACUAUCACUUAGCGGCGGACGGGUGAGUAACGCUUAGGAAUCUGCCUAUUAGUGGGGGACAACAUCUCGAAAGGGAUGCUAAUGCCGCAUACGUCCUACGGGAGAAAGCAGGGGAUCACUUGUGACCUUGCGCUAAUAGAUGAGCCUAAGUCGGAUUAGCUCGUUGGUGGGGUAAAGGCCUACCAAGGCGACGAUCUGUAGCGGGUCUGAGAGGAUGAUCCGCCACACUGGGACUGAGACACGGCCCAGACUCCUACGGGAGGCAGCAGUGGGGAAUAUUGGACAAUGGGGGGAACCCUGAUCCAGCCAUGCCGCGUGUGUGAAGAAGGCCUUAUGGUUGUAAAGCACUUUAAGCGAGGAGGAGGCUCUUUUGGUUAAUACCCAAGAUGAGUGGACGUUACUCGCAGAAUAAGCACCGGCUAACUCUGUGCCAGCCGCCGCCGUAA